rnacentral:rRNA from 1 species
UCAAAACGACUCUCGGCAACGGAUAUCUCGGCUCUCGCAUCGAUGAAGAACGUAGCGAAAUGCGAUACGUGGUGUGAAUUGCAGAAUUCCGUGAAUCAUCGAGUUUUUGAACGCAAGUUGCGCCCAAAGCCAUUUGGUUGAGGGCACGCCUGCUUGGGCGUCAC